CCGGUCGCGAGAAUGGACGAUCGAUGGUCGGAUCGUUGUUUGCUCUCCAUCGACGUGCCACGAUCCAAGGCGUACGUACAAUUAUCGGGCUUUCAUUUUCCGGCGCGGCGCGGCGCCACGUCUCCUCCUCGUGCAUUCCGCCUGCUGCUCGGCAUUGUACGAGUAUUCAAACAUCGCAUCGGCGGCAGCCCAUUUUUUCCAGCGACGUAUAUAUUUUCUUAUUACACGGUUGGACGUGAAAAAUACUCGGCACACACAAGUUCCGCGUGCCCUUUGUUCGUAGUACGCUCCCAGUCAUCCUUUCUUCUCGUGUCUCUUCGUUCCUUUCUUGCCAAAUAAUACAUGCACACCUGUCGUUGGAACCAUCUCGUACAAAAGGAACAAGUGGAAUAUUUCUAAUGGGGAAAGCCCUCGCUGGAAUGAAUGGAACCCUUUCUUGGUAAGUGUAACUAUCAUUGACUGUACGUGAGAGAUCGUCAAAUUUUUUUGAAUGGAUAUCAAGAGACGCGGAAAAAAAGAAAUGGCAUUCCUUCGCCUCUUAUUUCUAAUUUUUAACAAUUUUAAACAAUUUUUCCCGUUAAAGUUUUAUCCGCGUUAAAUUACGCAAUUAUAAUCGCGCAAAAUUUCACGGCCAACUAGAAAUUUCCAUUUCAUCAACGUAUUUAUCACGGUAAUGCUUUCGCGGUGUAAAAUAUCCCCGAUUUGAUUCUCACCAAACGUUAUUUCCUAGCUGCAUACGAGCACCGUGGAAUUUUGUUUAGAACCCGCUACUGCAUAAUCCUUUGAGCACACUCCAAGACUAGUUAUCUUUCGUUUCUUUUUUGCCAACUUUUUCCCCCCGGUUAUCUCGCACUUCCCCCAAUCGUGUAAUUACCACUACACCUUUGCGCUCUCCCUCCUGGAAAUAAAUUAACUAGGUGAGCCUCGUAUCGUCAAUUAACAGUCAUCUUGGCAUCUUUUCAUUCGAAAAAGAAAAAGAAAGUG